rnacentral:rRNA from 1 species
GAUGAACGCUGGCGGCGUGCCUAAUACAUGCAAGUCGAGCGAACAGACGAGGAGCUUGCUCCUCGGACGUUAGCGGCGGACGGGUGAGUAACACGUGGAUAACCUACCUAUAAGACUGGGAUAACUUCGGGAAACCGGAGCUAAUACCGGAUAAUAUAUUGAACCGCAUGGUUCAAUAGUGAAAGACGGUUUUGCUGUCACUUAUAGAUGGAUCCGCGCCGCAUUAGCUAGUUGGUAAGGUAACGGCUUACCAAGGCAACGAUGCGUAGCCGACCUGAGAGGGUGAUCGGCCACACUGGAACUGAGACACGGUCCAGACUCCUACGGGAGGCAGCAGUAGGGAAUCUUCCGCAAUGGGCGAAAGCCUGACGGAGCAACGCCGCGUGAGUGAUGAAGGUCUUCGGAUCGUAAAACUCUGUUAUUAGGGAAGAACAAAUGUGUAAGUAACUAUGCACGUCUUGACGGUACCUAAUCAGAAAGCCACGGCUAACUACGUG